rnacentral:rRNA from 2 species
UCUGGUGGUUUGUCGCCAUGGUACCACCCGUUCCCAUUCCGAACACGGAAGUGAAACGUGGUUGAGCCGAUGAUACUGAAAGGGAAAGUAGGUAGCCGCCAGAA